GGUUGGCUCAGAAGCAGCCAUCCUUUAAAGAGUGCGUAACAGCUCACUAGUCGAAUGACUCUGCGCCGAUAAUUUACCGGGGCUAAGCAUACUACCGAAGCUAUGGAUCCCAAGGGAUGGUAGGGGAGCGUUCCAUGAACGGAGAAGCGCGAUCGAGAGGACGCGUGGAGAUCAUGGAAGAGAGAAUGCCGGUGUGAGUAGCGGAACGUGGGUGAGAAUCCCACGCACCGAAAACCCAAGGUUUCCAGAGGAAGGUUCGUCCGCUCUGGGUAAGUCGGGACCUAAGGCGAGGCCGAGAGGCGUAGUCGAUGGACAACAGGUAGAGAUUCCUGUACUCAUAUAUAUGUGAAGGAAUGACGGAGAGAGGAAGCUGCAGCCAGCGGCUGGAAGAGCUGGUGCAAGCGAGAUAUCGGGAUGGCAGGCAAAUCCACCAUCCGAAACGAGAAGGCGUGAAGCGUACGGAAAGCUAAGGCGAGUACGGAAGGCAGUGGAGGAGCUUCCAAGAAAAGUUUCUAACGAAAGUAUAUGUGACCCGUACCGAAAAUGGACACACAUGGGUGAGGAGAGAAUCCUAAGGUGAGCGAGAGAACUAUAGCUAAGGAACUCUGCAAAAUGACUCCGUAACUUAGGGAGAAGGAGUGCUCAUAGAGAUAUGAGCCGCAGUGAAACGGCCCAAGCGACUGUUUACCAAAAACACAGCUCUCUGCUAAGCCGCAAGGCGAAGUAUAGGGGGUGACGCCUGCCCGGUGCUGGAAGGUUAAGGGGAGGGGUUAACGCAAGUGAAGCCCUGAACUGAAGCCCCAGUAAACGGCGGCCGUAACUAUAACGGUCCUAAGGUAGCGAAAUUCCUUGUCAGGUAAGUUCUGACCCGCACGAAAGGCGUAACGAUUUGGGCGCUGUCUCAGCUGUAGACUCGGUGAAGUCUUAGUACCUGUGAAGAUGCAGGUUACCCGCGACUAGACGGAAAGACCCCAUGGAGCUUCACUGCAGGUUGAUAUUGGGAUUUGAUGCAGCAUGUACAGGAUAGGUAGGAGGCAAAGAGAUGGAUACGCCAGUAUUCAAGGAGCCGCUGUUGGGAUACUACCCCUGUUGUAUUGGAUUUCUAACCGGACGACGUAAAGCCGUUGACGGGACAGUGUCAGUCGGGCAGUUUGACUGGGGCGGUCGCCUCCCAAAGAGUAACGGAGGCGCCCAAAGAUACCCUCAGCUUGGAUGGAAACCAAGCGCAGAGUGCAAAGGCAAAAGGGUGUUUGACUGCGAGACCCACAAGUCGAGCAGGGACGAAAGUCGGGCUUAGUGAUCCGGCGGUGCUGAAUGGAAAGGCCGUCGCUCAACGGAUAAAAGCUACCCUGGGGAUAACAGGCUGAUCUCCCCCAAGAGUUCACAUCGACGGGGAGGUUUGGCACCUCGAUGUCGGCUCAUCGCAUCCUGGAGCUGAAGUCGGUUCCAAGGGUUGGGCUGUUCGCCCAUUAAAGCGGUACGCGAGCUGGGUUCAGAACGUCGUGAGACAGUUCGGUCCCUAUCUGUCGUGGGCGCAGGAAAUUUGAGAAGAGCUGUCCUCAGUACGAGAGGACCGGGAUGGACGCAUCAAUGGUGGACCAGUUGUCACGCCAGUGGCAUAGCUGGGUAGCUAAAUGCGGAAGGGAUAAACGCUGAAGGCAUCUAAGUGUGAAACCCACUUCAAGAUGAGAUUUCCCAUUGC
rnacentral:rRNA from 1 species